GGAUGAACGCUGGCGGCGUGCCUAAUACAUGCAAGUCGAGCGAACGGACGAGAAGCUUGCUUUUCUGAUGUUAGCGGCGGACGGGUGAGUAACACGUGGAUAACCUACCUAUAAGACUGGGAUAACUUCGGGAAACCGGAGCUAAUACCGGAUAAUAUUUUGAACCGCAUGGUUCAUAAGUGAAAGACGGUCUUGCUGUCACUUAUAGAUGGAUCCGCGCUGCAUUAGCUAGUUGGUAAGGUAACGGCUUACCAAGGCAACGAUGCAUAGCCGACCUGAGAGGGUGAUCGGCCACACUGGAACUGAGACACGGUCCAGACUCCUACGGGAGGCAGCAGUAGGGAAUCUUCCGCAAUGGGCGAAAGCCUGACGGAGCAACGCCGCGUGAGUGAUGAAGGUCUUCGGAUCGUAAAACUCUGUUAUUAGGGAAGAACAUAUGUGUAAGUAACUGUGCACAUCUUGACGGUACCUAAUCAGAAAGCCACGGCUAACUACGUG
rnacentral:rRNA from 1 species